CGGAGCCUGUAAGAAAUUUACCUGAGGCUCUUUCUUUUAUGAUCCAAGUUAGGGUGUCUCUUGAUAGAAUCAAUACUUUUCUACUUGGUGAUGAACUCAAGAAUGAAAGCUUGAGGACAAUUUCAUCUCAUAACUCAGAUAAAAGUGUUAGAAUUCAAGGAGGUAAAUUCAGCUGGGAUCCUGAACUAAUGAUGCCAACUUUGAGAGAAGUGAACCUGGAUGUCAAAUGGGGGCAAAAAAUUGCAAUUUGUGGGCCGGUUGGGGCUGGAAAAUCGUCGCUAUUAUAUGCCAUUCUUGGGGAGAUACCUAAAAUUUCAGGAACUGUUGAUGUGUUUGGAUCCAUUGCCUAUGUUUCUCAAACUUCUUGGAUUCAAAGUGGAACUAUUCGUGAUAACAUACUCUAUGGAAAAUCAAUGGACGAGGGCAAAUAUGAGAAGGCCAUAAAAGCAUGUGCUUUAGACAAGGACAUUAAUAGUUUCAAUCAUGGAGAUCUCACAGAAAUAGGCCAGAGAGGGCUUAAUCUAAGUGGUGGACAGAAGCAGAGGAUUCAACUUGCCCGUGCUGUCUACAAUGAUGCUGAUAUCUAUCUCCUUGAUGAUCCUUUUAGUGCAGUAGAUGCACAGACUGCUGCAAUUCUAUUCAAUGACUGUGUCAUGACUACUCUAGAAAACAAAACUGUCAUACUAGUGACUCACCAAGUGGAGUUCCUCUCAGCAGUGGAUAGAAUCAUGGUAAUGGAAGGUGGGCAAAUUACUCAAUCAGGAAGCUAUGAACAGCUCUUGAAGGCUGGGACAGCAUUUGAACAGCUUGUGAAUGCUCAUAAAGAUUCAAUAACAGUACUGGAAUCUUCUAACGAUCAAAGUCAAGGACAAGCUCUAAAGGUAGAUAUGGUUAGGCCAGAUAAGUCUAAUACGUCUUAUACCACUAAACAAAACAGUGAAGGGGAGAUUUCUGCCAAGGCUGUGCCGGGAGUGCAGCUAACAGAAGAGGAAGAGAAGCAGACUGGAGAUGUUGGAUGGAAGCCAUUCCUCGAUUACCUCAUCGUGUCACAAGGAACACUUUUUGUGUGCCUUUGCAUACUAUCUCAAAGUGGUUUUGUUGUUUUUCAGGCUGCUGCAACUUAUUGGCUGGCAUAUGCCAUCCAAAUUCCUAAAAUGAACAGUGGCAUUAUGAUUGGAGUUUACACUCUGAUAUCAACACUAAGUUCUGCCUUUGUAUAUUUGAGGUCUUUCUUUACAGCCCAUCUGGGAUUAAAAGCUUCUAAAUCUUUCUUCUUUGGUUUCACCAAUGCAAUUUUUAAAGCUCCUAUGCUCUUCUUUGA
rnacentral:misc_RNA from 1 species